UUGGAAGUAAAAGUCGUAACAAGGUUUUCGUAGGUGAACCUGCGGAAGGAUAAUUG
rnacentral:rRNA from 1 species